rnacentral:lncRNA from 1 species
GGGAAGAAACCCAACUUGGGUACACGAGAGUUCGUCAUAUGCACUUGCAUACGUGCCACGCCAAGUAAAUAAGCAACACGCCACGCUACAAGCUUAAGUGGGCCUAAGCCAUGCAAAUGCCUGGGGCUUGCUGAGCUGGUUGUGGUAUGGAUGGUUAUGAGUAUUCACGAGGCCCAUUGAUGGUCCAAGGAGUGGAAGUUUUGGGCUACUUGGGAGCACCAAAACUCAAGCCCAUUCCUUGAGCCCAAACAUAUGGGUAAGCAUGAGAGAGAACCCAGUAGUCCAUCACUUUAGGAAGCCAGCCCAUUCCCUUAGUAAACUAACCCAUCACCCUAGGCUGCCCCAAAUGACCAAGAAAAUAUCUGAAAAUCUCCAGCACAUGGCUGGAGACAAAACAAUAACAAAAUGGCUGGAGACAAAACAAUAACAAAAGCCAAAAGCCACUAACGUCUGCAAGCUGCUGGGAAUCUCUAGCACAUGGCCAAAGAUAAAUCUCAAUACAAGCCAUCAAAAAACCAAAGGAUACUUGAGCAAAACACCCUUCAAACUAGCGGCCUUACCCAUUUCUUUCUCCCACCAGCUCUUGCCAUGGAAGAGGGAAGGAAAGAAGGUGAGGAGGUAGCCAAAAAUGGGAGUUCAUUACUGAAGCAGUUAUGGGAAAGCCUUAGAGCUCCCAAAAAUCUUGUCUUUGUGUGUUUGGACAGAGGAAGAUUUCACAAAAUGGGAUGAGUCAAAGGAAGAGAAGAGAAAUGAAAGGGGAGACUUGGCAAAAUUAGAGAGAACCAACUAAGGUUUUCUUGGUAAGAAGGAGUUCCUGCGCCUAUAAAAGGGAGGCACCUUCUACCCACCAAAACAACUCAAGAAAAGGCAAGCAACACACAUCCAAAAAGCAAGCUUCAUCUCUCAUCCCUUAAACCUCUGCAAUUUCGAGCCCCAUUCCUCUAUCUUCUCCCAUUUUCUCCUUUGGUAAAUUGUUCCAGAGCUUUCGUCAAGCUGUUGGAAACUACUCAACACACCCGUUGUUAUUCCCUCAUCUCUCUCUCUCUCUCUCUUCAACAAAUCCUUUUAGAAUCUUGCCUUAAAACCUCUAUUUCUCAUAGGAAAUCGUAGCUCUUUCUCUCUCUCAUGCUAAACUCAUGAAUGCUCAACUCCCAUGCCACAAACUUCUCAUGCCAAGCCAAGAAUUUAUCUGUAAGCGACUCUUCAUUGGUAAAGAAGACCAAGGUGUUUCCUAAGGCUCAACUACCCUUUCGAAACACUCUUGGGGUCUGAUCCUUGAACUCAAACUUAAGGGGCAAUUUCAUACAUUUGGCUCUUUACAGCAGCCCAAGCCUAUAAGUAGCUGCCAGAACGAAAAAGCCCCUACAUAAAUUGGCGACUCUGCUGGGGAUUAGGCCGCUAUCUUCACCAAUACUUCCAACAAAGAAGACCAGAAGCAAUAAACCAAAGAAAAUAAAGAGAUAAGAACAUUUCCUCUUUCUUGUUUUUUUCUUUUGUUGGCUAUCUACUUUGCAUAACAAGCAUAAUAAGGGUUGCUGACAUGUGCCUUUUGCUUGUGUCUUAGAUCUCCAUUCUCAAGCAAAACCAAAUCUUGUACGAGGGCUGGGGCUUUAGGCAAAUCCAUCAUUCAGGCCAUUGAGCAAACUACACAUGCAAACUCCAAAAUACUUGGGGGCUUCGGGCCAAGAAAAUCUAUAAAAAUAAAAUAAAAUAAAAAUAAAAAAAGGGAGUCAAGCAUAGGAACUUCAAAGUUUCUCAUGCUAAACCAAGCUAUACCUCGGUUCCAAGAGCUGUGCACUUGCCUUAUUUCAAACCUUCUUAGCCCAUAUCCUAUUUCAAACAUCAUGCCAGAGUAUAUGCUCCCUAACCCCCAAAAGCUCAAUUUAUCCUUGCAAUAAUUCAACAAGCUCAUUACAUCUCUGAAAGAAAACUCAAAGCAGCCUCAACAACUAGCUUGUUCUCUGUCUCAUCC